GAUGAACGCUGGCGGCGUGCCUAAUACAUGCAAGUCGAGCGAACAGAUAAGGAGCUUGCUCCUUUGACGUUAGCGGCGGACGGGUGAGUAACACGUGGGUAACCUACCUAUAAGACUGGGAUAACUUCGGGAAACCGGAGCUAAUACCGGAUAACAUUUGGAACCGCAUGGUUCUAAAGUGAAAGAUGGUUUUGCUAUCACUUAUAGAUGGACCCGCGCCGUAUUAGCUAGUUGGUAAGGUAACGGCUUACCAAGGCAACGAUACGUAGCCGACCUGAGAGGGUGAUCGGCCACACUGGAACUGAGACACGGUCCAGACUCCUACGGGAGGCAGCAGUAGGGAAUCUUCCGCAAUGGGCGAAAGCCUGACGGAGCAACGCCGCGUGAGUGAUGAAGGGUUUCGGCUCGUAAAACUCUGUCAUUAGGGAAGAACAAAUGUGUAAGUAACUGUGCACGUCUUGACGGUACCUAAUCAGAAAGCCACGGCUAACUACGUG
rnacentral:rRNA from 1 species